GUAUUAGAUACUGUGUCGAGUGGCUUUAGGAUAAGUGGGAGUUAUUUGAAAAUAUGUCCCAAAAGCCAAUCGUCAGCUUGUUGACGGUUGAGCAAUCUUGUAUUGUAAUUAAUUUGUUAAUAAAUAAAAUAUAUUUUUUAUAUUUUCAUCAUAAGUUUUUAUCUUCUAAUGAACUCUGUUGUUGUGAUGAAGUCCUUAGAACUAUUUAGAUUCGAUAAAGAGAGGAUUUAUCGAUUAGUUCUUAAAACUGUUCAUGACCAA
rnacentral:lncRNA from 1 species